rnacentral:lncRNA from 1 species
CCUUUUUAGGGCGGCACCCACGGCAUAUGGAAGUUCCCAGGCUAAGGGACUAAUCGGAGCUACAGCUGCCAGCCUGCACCACAGCCACAGCAAUGCCAGAUCUGAGUCACAUCUGCAACCUACACCACAGCUCACGGCAAUGCCGGAUCCUUAACCCACUGACCGAGGCCAGGGAUGGAACCUGCAACCUCAUGGUUCCUAGUUGGAUUAAUUUCCACUGCACAGUGAUGGGAACUCCUGCAUCAGCCUCAUUCUUGAUUCUCCUCUUUUUCCAGGGCUCAGCUCUCAAGACUGAGUGAAUGAAUAAGUGAGUGUGUGUGGGGGGGGUGUGGGUGUGACACACAGGAGUGAGUUCCUGCAUGUGCAUGUGUGAGGGCAAACACAGACAGCAGGCAGGGCACUGCUUGAAUACCUGCCAUAGUGCUUAAGUCUGAACCUUGGGGCCAGAUUUAGGGGCGAGGCUGUCACAGGAGGGCUGGGACAGGUAGGUGAUAGUUACAGAGGUGAGAGGUAUUAUGACAGGCCAUACAGAGUGAGAUUCGGUGUGGAUGCGGGAUCCCCAAGUCAGGAAGGGGAGCGGGUUACCACUGGGCAAACGCGGUGUCCUGAGGUGAGAAAACCCUGGGAAGCCUUGGGGGAGACGCAGGGGUCAAAGCCACCGUGUUAGCGCAGACCAGUCCGCAGUGGUAUCAGCGCCAGGGAAAGUGCCCCCAGCCCCACGGUCCCCAGGACAUAACAGGUGAAGGGCCCCACGCUCCAAACACAAAGGCAGGUUUCAGCCAAGGUGAAGCAGAGCUCCCGGAAGCUGGAGUUCCCAUCCUGCACUUGAGUCAGAGGGCCUCAGGGCAGCUGGGCUCCGUGUCUGAGGAGCAAGGCCUCCCAGCAAGUGCUGGUGCUGAGCGGGGCUCCUCCUCGUGGGCCUCAAUUUCCUGUCCUCAUAUCGCGGCCUGGCUGCCGUUCAGAUCCCAGAGGGGAGAACAAACGAGGUGAAACACGAAAGGGCUGGAACGAUUACACCGCAGUGCAAACAAAGGAGGCGCGGUGAUCACGAGGUUGACUGAGAUCGGCCGAGACCUGCCCAAGAUCCGCUGCACGGAUCCCCUGAAGACCACGGCCCUCUCUGCUCCAAACCUCUGAGGCAUCUUCCAGCUCCUGAAGGAGAGAGUCACACACCAGGGGAGCCUUCCUGCUCCCCGUCCCACCGCCAGCAAAGACCAGGCCUGCGAAAGCCCAGGCCUUGAAUACAGUUCCCUGAUGACUACUCAGCUCUGUGGGUAAUGGUUUGUCCCUGCAAUCAAAUGUGAACUCUGAGAAGGCAAGAGUGUACACACACACACACACAAAUGCACACACACAUACAUCUGAGUGCAUGCACACAUACACACCCAGCGCAGCUGCAGUGGGACCUAUGGCCUCAGGAAGUCCCUGCUCUCUAGGGAAAGAGGGUCAUGCAGCUGUGACAUGAUGACACUCCUGCCUGGGACAGCGCAAAAGGCCCAGGCCAAGGUCCUGGAGCCUACAUAUCACUUCCCGCCCCUCCCCACUCCCUCAGGUGUACACACCCAUGCACACACACACAUACAAACAAUCCCAGAAUCAAGGCCCCUGAAACCUAGACUCUGUGACCUUUCGUGUCUGUCCCCUCACACCCAGGCCCCCCAGCACGGCCUAGCUGGGCCCGGGGUGACGGCCCCGCUCACAGCUGACCCAGCGGCCAUUCUCCCCUCUACUUACUAAGGAAACCCAGGGCAUAGGGAGGCCGCCAGCUAACACCUGCCUUCCUGGUGGCCUCCCCUCCUGCUCAGAGCAACAGGACCAAGUUCCAGCCAGGAGAUCUCCCUGGGUGUCCACUUGUCAUGUGUGUACAAAGUUUUUUUCCUGACACACCAGAUGCCUGUCUCUCCACAAGCUUCCUUUGGCAUCUUCCCACCUGUGAUGAUGUGCAGAGAUUAAGGCUGUACCUAGAGGACUGGGUGCCAGGAAGAACCCGGAAAUCAGAAGCAAUCGUGCAGGGAGGCAGCACUUCUUGCAGGCAAGUGGGAAGGGCAGCAUGAAGAUUUCUCUAGCAAAGAUCAUUCUAGGAGAGGCACCGGCAUGAGCGAGCCGGUGGGAGAGCAGGAAGGUGAGUAGAAGUCGCAAGGCAGGUGAGCAGCAAUCGCAAGGCAGGUGAGCAUGCUGGAGAGGAGGUGGGCCAAGGGGGCUGGAGGCCAAGGGGUCCAAAAGGCCUUCCUCUGGAGGAAGCCAACCAAGAGCUAUUGAUCAAGGAGGGCCAAGGCUGAAGUCAAGGAUGGUCUUUGAAAAGACCAGUCCAGUAGAGGCUGGAUAGAGGGGCGGGAGCCAGAGGCAGGGAGAGCUUUGGCAAGGGGUGGGGGCUGUCCUAGUGUGAUCUGAACUAGGAUGGUGGCAGCAGAAAGAGACAGGAGAGAGAAUUCAUGGCAGGAAAAUUAAGCUAGAGCAGCAUCCUGGAAAUGGGAAGCCAUAGAGAGAAGCCAUUGAGAAUGCCUGUCUUCAAAGAGUCAAAGGAUCAGGCUUGAAGGGCUAGGGCCACAGCAGUUCAGUGAACAAAAAUUAAGAAGAGAAAACAUCAAGUGGGGAGAAGCCGGUAAGGGGGCCAGAGGGCGUACCCCUCCCCAGCCCCUGCAGCUCCGAGCCCUCCCUGACUGCACAGGAUUCCUCAUGAUGCCAGUUAUCUGACAUUAGGAGGUGUCCAGUCUCCUCCCCCUCCUCCAGGCAGCACCCCAAUUCCGGCCCGGUCCUGGCACAUCCUUUGACAGGCAGUUGAUUCAGGGAUGUUUGGUCAUUCGUAGCUGGAGAACCACGAAGUCGUGGUGCAGCAACACAGGUAUCCGCCCGCCUCUGGGGGACCUCCCCAGAGCCCAGCCCCAGCUCCACAUGGGGAAAUGAAACACGAAUCACACACCAGUAUGACUUCUGGCUCCUCUUCCACUGAUUAACAAGCCCCGGGGGAGGCCAAGGAUGAAAUGAAUGCUACAGCAGGCCCAUUCAUCACAGCUCCAUCUAAGCCACAUCAGUGGCAGGUAGGGUGACCCAAUAUCCUGUUUUCCCAGGACUCUCGGGUUUUAAUACUGCAAGUCUCACAGCCCAGGAAAACCCUUAGUGCUGGGCAAAUGGGGCCUUUGGUCACCCCAGCUGCAGAAGGGCCCUGACUUUUGGAUGGGGAACAACCGUCACAGCUGCCAUGGAAACACACACCCAGGCCACCACGGGCUCCUCGUGGGCCGCCACAGCUUGUCCCCACCCCAUGAGGUUAGGCCCAUCUUCAACAGCCUGCCAGAGAGCUGGGCACACCACAACUCUCCAGAAAGAACUGAUGACUGUCCUGGAAAGUCUGACCCUCAGCCUUUCUGAUCCUGGCCCUUCUCAUCUUCAGGACAGGCUGGAGGGACUCGUGUGGGCAUUUGAUUCGGACAACGAAGAACCCCCAGGACAAAUGGGGGUCUGAUUCACUGACCCUCAGCCUGCCCAAACCCACUGGGUCAAAACAUUCAAUCAUGAGGUUUGUAUAGGAGAGCUUUCUAAAGAAACACUUUAUAUCCAUUUUCUGCUGUUUCCAAGUUUACCUAAGAAAAUUCCCCUUGGUCACGCUCCACCUCCCACAGGCGGAAGGGACCUCAACACUUAUCGAGUCCACCUACUUCAUUCUAGAGACGUGAAAACGGAAACCUGUCGAGAAGAGACGCAUCCAAGGUCAUGGAGCAAGCAAGUGAGAAGGGGACCCUGCCCAUGAAUCUCUUCCUCUGCAUCACGCCGAUGGUCUCAUGGCGAGAACGGCUAUCUUUCUGCUGCAAGUAGGUUAGGACAUAAACGCCCCACACAGGCACUUUUCCCAUACGAAUCAUACCAUGAACUGCUUCUGAUUUCAUCAACACGCAUCUCAGAAUUUGACCAAACUAAACAAAACCCAGGUUGGAAUCAGCACCAAUUUGAACAUCUUACCCAGACUGGCUGUGGUUCCUUCUGUGUGGGCAGCCCAGGUCAGACGUGGGCCUGGAAUCAGAAGAUAAACCUUACACUUUGGGAUAAUGGCUCAGUAGUAGAACUGGCAUUGACGUGGGGCUGCCAACGAUGUGGCCACAGAGCUGAGAUGGCCUGAGAGGGAAGGGACUGCAGCCCACUGGCUUAGUCUCACCCCCGAGGUGUUGGAACCAGCAACAAAGUCAGCUUGCCCAUCACCGCUGCCUGAAGGUGGUGUCCCGCCAGGGCCAGGGCACAGGCCCCAGGAGUCCUCCAGGCAGCUGAAGUGGAGAGGCUCGCCUGCAAGACUGCAAAUAGCCAGCACAUCGGUCUGUCGAUCCCACAAUCCUUUCUGCUACUUCCGGCACUCACCCAACUAGGAUGGAAAAGCAAGACUCUAGAGAAGACCCAGAGAAAAGUGGAUGGAGUCAGAGAAUGAUUCCAGCCAGUGGUGAGAGCAGAAUUAUACUCCAAGACCUGACGUAUCUGGGGAGUGCCCUGGUGGCUCAGUGGGUUAAGGAUCUGGCAUUGUCACUGCUGUGGCAAGGGUCUGAUCCCUGGCCCAGGAAUUUCUUCGUGCUGUGGACCUUCCGGGCUGGGAGGGUUUGCAGCCACCCCUGUGUUACAUACGGUCCUGCACGUCCUAGGACAUGACAAAGAUGCCACUGUCAUUGCUGAAUGACUCUGAAUAUGUUCCAGCCACAGGCCUGGCUGGGUUGGGCUAUCUUAUCCUUUGGGGAGCUUGCCCGAAGUCACACAUUGAAGAAGGUCAUUCAGAUGUUGCCAUGGUCGGAACUCCUCAACGCAGGUGGAUUCAGCUAACCACACGGGCACCCCCUCAGUCCCAGCAGGGGUCCUUUACGCUGAGUCUGGCAGGCCUCAUGUGCACUUUGUUUUCUAGCUUCCAAAAGACAGCUAAGUCACAUGGCAACAGCAUCUAGAGCCAGCCAACAAAUGGUCCUUUCAAAGCACAGACUCAUAUGAAAUUCUAAAGACUCCCCAUUACCAUUCCAAAUAUCAUAUACGUUCAUUUGUAAACCUUUCUACAAUCUCCACUCAACCCACUUGGGUUUAUUUGGCUCCACCCACGAUAUGUAGAAGUUCCCCAGGCCAGGGAUCGGCCUGCAAUACAGCAGUGACCCAAGCCACAACAGUGAUGAGACCAGAUCCCUAACUUGCUGCACCACCCUCAAGCCACUUCUUCAGCCUAUGUCCCACCUGUUCGCCAUCAUUUACUCUGUGCUGCAGCCGUGCCAGGAUUUCUUCGCGUGUCCUCUGCCAGUAGUUUUCUUCCUCCAUCGCAACCAUCUCCCUUGACUGAUGGCUGAGGUCUCAGUCCAGACUCAUCAGAAGCUUCCUCCAGGAAGUCUUCUGCAUCUCCUGAUGUGUAAUUAUCACCUUCU